AAUAAUAACAGGUAUCUUAUCAGGUUGUGGUAAGAUCAAAUAACAUUAAUUAAAGCAUUUAGAAUAAUGCUUGGCACAUAGUAAGAAUUUAAUAAAAGUUAAUUAUUAUUUAUCUUUUUCCUACCAGGUGCAACAGAAUAUCUCUCCUCUCCUCUCCACUCCUCUCGUCCUCCUCCUCCUCCUCCUCCUCCUCCUCCUCCCCCUCCCUUCCUCCCUCUUUCUCCUCUCAGCUAAUUUCAAUACCACGGAAAUCUUGUCUUCAGUUUUACAGCCUGAGAACAUGAUUUCUAGCAAGGGUCUGGCAUCAUCUGUGUACUUGCACACCAGGUGUGUCAUCAGCGUGGCAGUGAUAACAGCACCUUGGGAAAUACAAUAAAGAAACUUUGCCAUUUGGGCCACUUCCAGGAAAGUUUCAGAGGCAUAAGAGAAAGAACUAAAACUACAAAGGCAUUAAAAGAAGAUUAACUUAUAAAGAAGCCAGAGUAACCAGCUUUCUUAUUUAUAAUUAUCCAAAACAUUAAACUCACACUACUAAGGAUAUAGGGUUUGAAGGCUUGCUGAGAAUCUUAGAACAAUGAAAUGAGGAAAAGAGUUCACUCUCAUCAAGCUUAUAGCCAAUGAGGAAACGAUCCAAUUAUGAUUGUAUUUGCUGUGUGGACAUUAUUAGGGAAGUAUUGGAUUUUGUGAAAAAAAAGAUUCCUUUCAAAGACAGUCCCAUGAUGAUUGACCACUGCAGGGAACACAUUUUGAGGAAUCUCAUCUUUCUUUGUGUCAUACCACACACCACAAGGGUGGUCGGCAUGAGGAGCACUUAGGAAUCUGAUAACAAAUUACACCACUUCAAGACAUCGAUGGUUGGUAGGUUUGC
rnacentral:lncRNA from 1 species